UACGGGGGGAGCAAGCGUUGUUCGGAUUUACUGGGCGUAAAGGGCGCGUAGGCGGCGUAACAAGUCACUUGUGAAAUCUCCGGGCUUAACCCGGAGCGGCCAAGUGAUACUGUUGUGCUAGAGUGCGGAAGGGGCUACUGGAAUUCUCGGUGUAGCGGUGAAAUGCGUAGAUAUCGAGAGGAACACCUGCGGCGAAGGCGGGUAGCUGGGCCGACACUGACGCUGAGGCGCGAAAGCCAGGGGGAGCGAACGGG
rnacentral:rRNA from 1 species